rnacentral:misc_RNA from 1 species
CAAAUUCACCCGUACCCUCCGGAAAUCACGUCCGGACGCUGCCCCAAUCGGUGUAAAUCCCGGCAAAUUGCCCACUACGCCCAUACAAACAAAUAUAAAUGUCGAAACUCGGAGCUCGCUUCAAGUCCUCGACUUUCGCUGUACGCAGGCAUUACAUCAUCUCGCGCAUCUGGCGCUUUAACACCGUUGGAGUCCUGCACUUCUUCGGUACUGAAACAACCACCAAGGUGGUUAAGGAAUUUUCGGCUCCUCAGCCGAUAGUCCCUCUACGGAAAUCCUGUUUUCCGUUUUCUGUUCGCGCUGCUGUUCGCGCGAUUAAAGCUGCCGGACGUCCCAUUGACCGUCCGCGCUCUGGAUGCCUCUGUGGCCUCCCUGUUAUCGACACAUCUGGUGUCGUACGUGCCUCUGUCGCGGGCAUUUGGAGGUAUUCUCUGUGUAAACCUCCCCUUACUGCCGCCGCCAAGAAGUCCAUUGCCAAGGCGAAGAAAGAUUCUGCUUUCUUUCUUAGCCGGGCUUCUUCACUCUUCUCACGGGAAGUCCCCUGCGGCACGCGUCAUAGACUUCGUAGGCGCGUUAUGAAACGAGUAGACCCUACCAUGCACGAGAGUCCCCAAGACGAGAUCAAACUUAAGGGACGCCGACAUGGCAAGAAUUCUGACCUCCCGUAUAUGGGGGAAGCGGCGUUGGAUGAUAUCCUUCGCUGGAUUGAGGGGGUAAAUCCCCCGCCGUCGAUGGUCGCCAUUCCGGUGCCCAUCUCUUUCGGCGCCAUGCCCACAACGGCAUCGUGCUCUCCUGUUGACGCGGCUGUUUUGCGGUGUCGUUUAGACUACCACGCCGCUGAGACUUCCUUUCGUGACGAAAGGAAGCACGUGAGAUACGUCUAUAAUGACGUGUCUUCUGCUGCCAACCGUCCUCGUACGGUUUCUGCCAAGUGCGGGCGUGUUUUCAGCGGUUCUGCGCUGGGUGUUGAGGUCCCGAGCACUAGGGAUCGCCAUACCGCUUUCGUGAGAUCUACUCACGCUAGCGUUUUCUUCUCCCGGAGUUCGCCGGUUCGCAUGUUCCGUCCUGGGCGGAAUAAUUUCUUCACUAGCGUCGUUAGUGGGCGGCGCGUUAGUUACUUUAGACCCGGACCUAAUGGUACGGUGUCUGUUUUAAUGUCGGACGGUGUCAACACGGCGCGUCUCGACGUUGUGCCUCCUGGCUACUAUGCGUACGCUAAAGCGUUAGGCGCCAAAGUGCCGUGUUUGUGGGAGUCGUCCGAUUUGGACGAUGCUAAGAUACGUGACGGCCAGUGCUACGUUCGUCACGUAUACGACGUGGCCCUUUACUUCGGAAGGCGCGUCGAUCUUUCUGUGCGCCGAACUUUGGGUUUGUUUCCCACAGUGGGUGCACUAAAAGCUUAUCUUCUUCGCGAGUACGGUCGCAACUCUUUGAAGGUUCCGAUGCGCGGGACUUACACUUUUGGCAGUGUGUUUCAUUGCCUGUCGACUAAAUCUUUUGUCGACUUGAGAUCUGUUCCUAACCAUCACUUGGUUGGUGGUGCGUCUGCUCACGUGUUUAUUGGGCAGAUUCGUGUUGACGUUCCUGGUGGUGUCUCUAAGCCAUCACGAGCAGCUGCGCAGGCGAAUAGGCGUUUGCGUGAAGACGGGUUUUUAGGUAGUACCGAUUCGUCUUCUUCAGGAGGGUCGAGAUACUGUUCGGAUUGUUCAACUCCUCGCAGUCCACCCUCUCCGUCGAUUGUUGGACCAACUCUUGGCCGGAUACCAAGUAUAAACCGGAAGUUCCGGUUUCCAGCAGGCACUCAGUUGAGUGUUUCUCAAUUCGAACAAAUUAUUGUUAAGAGUCUGCGAGUUACGAUGGACGAUACUAGCGGACAAACUUUCAUUUCUGUGAACCUUUCUGACGAAAGCAACACAGCUAGCACUGAAGUCAAAACCGUAAGUUUGGAAGCGGAUCGCUUGGAAUUUUUACGGAAAAUGAAUCCCUUUAUUAUCGACGCUUUGAUACGGAAAACUAGUUAUCAGGGUGCCUUUCGCGCGAGAAUAAUAGGAGUGUGCGUGGAUUGUGGUAGAAAACACGAUAAGGCAUCGAGGACUGAACGUAAGUGUAAAGUCAACAACACACAAUCUCAGAACGAGGUGGCGCAUAUGUUAAUGCACGAUCCCGUGAAAUAUUUAAAUAAAAGAAAAGCUAGAGCUUUUUCUAACGCAGAGAUGUUUGCGAUCGAUUUGGUUAUGCAUACCAAAGAAAGGCAAUUAGCGGUUGAUUUGGCCGCUGAAAGGGAGAAGACGAGAUUGGCUCGUAGACACCCGAUGCGUUCUCCGGAGGAAACUCCGGAACAUUAUAAGUUCGGUAUGACUGCUAAGGCAAUGUUACCGAACAUCAACGCUAUAGACGUUGGUGAUAACGAAGACACUUCGUCGGAAUACCCAGUGAGUCUGAGUGUUUCAGGCGGAGUUCUCCGUGAACACCACUUCAUCUGAUUGAAGUGGACGGAAUAAGUUCCUUGCGGAACUUUAUGUCGGGUUGGUAAAAACCCUUAUGAUGGUGAUGUAUCACUAGACAAUAACCGGAUGGGUAAAGUCUUUAAAAUGAUCGAGGGGAAAAUUAACCAUAUCCUCUCGUUGGUCUAAGCUCCCACAGAGUGUAGUGGUCUCAAGUGAGGCUUAACGUAUGCGUGAACCAAAGAAGUUCUCCUUAGAGUGUGUGUUGUUUACCCAACACACUGUCCCUAUGGGGGGCCAACAUAGGUCCAU